UAUACACGAUUCAGACGUUUUGCACC
rnacentral:sRNA from 1 species